CAUCUGGCCCCUUCCUACCUUUGCAGCCUUUCCUCAAUUCCAGGCAGAAUAUACUAUCAGAGACUUGCAGCUGGAAAGGACCUCAGCUCUCCUUCCUUAUAACCCCUCCCAGAGGAGGGAUGCUUUCUCCACAAUACAGCUGGUUAAAGGGCUGGGAUUUAAGAAGACCCUGAAGGACCACAAAGAUUUUCAUAUCAUUUGACACAUAUCAUGUUAACUGAUGCUCUGCCAGAAGCCCUCCAGGAGAACUGAUCUCACUACCUGCUAUCCUUUGUCCUUUGUUAAUUCCUAUGGUGAUGCUGCUCUCUCUGUCUCCACAGCAGACCUGGAAGCUCACUACAGCCUCGCAAUGGUGGAGCAUUUAAGGAGGCUCCCAGGCCCGCCACAUUCCAGUCCUCUCUGGGCUCUCACUUAGGACUUUACCAUGUCCCUCAAGCCACACUACCCUAGUGUUCUUUCCUCAUAAGAACGUAAACUCCUUGCAGGCAGGGGCUGUUUCCCUUUCUACUGGUAUUUGUAUUCCCAAAUACAAAUGUAUGGUGCCUGACACACAGCAAACAUUUAAUAAAUGCUUGUUGACUAUAACUGUUCAUUUUCCAAUCCAGCUACUCCUGUCCAUGAAUUAGCCAGCUCAGAUGCCACUUUUCUUCCCUACAUCACUCACAGACUGAAAUAAUUUCUCUCUCCUUUGAACUCCCGAAAAACUUUUAUUUCUCUUCCUUCAUUAUCACAUUCUGCCUUGUGUUAUUAGUACAUGUCUUCUCUCCCCUAAUAAUCUAUAAGCAUUGUGAAAGCAGGAACGAGGUCAGAGUCACGUUUUAGCAGUCUUACACUGCUCCUGACCAUAUAAUUAGGAAAGCUUGGCUCCAAACGCUAGUUCAACGACUUGCCACAAAGACAACGGCACAGUGAGGGCUAGAAGUCGUCUCCUGGCGUUGAGCUCACAAGCUCUUUGUCCAGCCCCUGCCCUCAUACUAGGAAACUUCCACAUCCACCCUGACACUCCCCUCACAUCUCCUCAAUUUACUUAUGGCUUACACCUGCCCUCCACCUCCACCAUAAUGGUAACACCACUGAUCUUGCCAUCACUCACAAAUGUACCAUGUCCGUGGUCAUGAACUCUGAAAUUCCCUUAUGAGAUCACAAUCUACUCUUAUUCCACCUUUCCCUUGCAACCACAAACUGUUCCUCAUCAACCAGUGACCUCCAAUCCUUCAACCUAUCCAUCAAGUCCUUUCCAGGCCAACAAUCCUAUACUAGGUAUACCAGCAUCCCUUCAUCUUGACCCCUUGGUGAACCAAGUCAACUCUAGACUGUCCUCUUUUUUCUCCAGGUUCAUUCAGUAGUACAUAUAUUAGAUCAAAGGCAGCAGAUGGGAGUUAUCCAAGACUGAGGUUUAGCAAGACAAGAUGGGCCAUAAGGGUUAAGAUAAUUACUCAUCACUGGUCAUUUGCUAAGCUUUCCACUCCUUGAUCUGCUGUUAACAUUCUAUGUAAACUGAGGUCACUGGUGAUUAAAGCAUUGGGAGGCCACAACGAAGAGCCCUGCCUGCACUUGGGGCUGAAAGUCUCAGCUCACACAUUUGAUUCACUGGGCAUUCUGAGAUCAGAAAUUGAAUUCUUAAAGAAAAAGACUAUUUCAACAAGUUGUUUAAGCAGCCCAGUGAGAUUCUGAACUUGCAUAGCAGACUUACUAUGAGGUAAUCAUGAUGACUCAUUAUUUAAGAACCAAGUUUUUCUUCUGAAUCACUAAUAAUUACACGACACAUGGCAGAAGAUAAUAUUGGAUCUCCAUAUCUAACAACAGAAGUAUUAAAUCACUAUUCUAUUAUUAUAUGUGUUUAU